rnacentral:sRNA from 1 species
CAUCAUGUCUCCGGCCAGCGCGCGGGAAUGUUUUGUUUUUCCCUUUGCCAGGACGUGAUCUUCCUCCUAUCCGCCGUACGAACAAUGCAAUUGAAGCUCUGAUAUCGUCUCUUUUUUUUUGGACCCAAGGGUUUUCUCGUUUUUCCGUUUUUUUUUUUUUACCCCCGCUGAAAUCGCCGAGGAAAGAAAAUUUCGCCCCCCCUGAUAGGAACAGGAUCUCCCGUAUCGUAAACUAACGAAGCCAAUGCAAGGGGAGGGGGAAUCUUGUUUGAAGAGUUUUGCUUUCUUUUUUCUUGUUUUUGAUUUUUGGUUUUCUCCUCUCCCCUCCCUUGCCAUCCUUUUCGGAUUUGCAAUGCACUUUGUUCCUGGACGAUAAUGGAAAAAUAAUAAUAAUAAAAAGAGA